AUCUCUUUAGUAUAAUAAGUACAUUUGACUUCCAAUCAAUUAGCUUUGGUAUAAACCCAAAAAGAGAUA
rnacentral:tRNA from 1 species